rnacentral:rRNA from 1 species
UACCCGCUGAACUUAAGCAUAUCAAUAAGCGGAGGAAAAGAAACCAACAGGGAUUACCUCAGUAACGGCGAGUGAAGCGGUAAAAGCUCAAAUUUGAAAUCUUCGGAAUUGUAAUUUGAUGGAUAAAAUUGUCACGGACAAAAGUUCACUGGAAAGUGACGCCGUAGAGGGUGAUAGCCCCGUUUACGUCCACCGGCACUAUAAUUUUAUUCCAAAGAGUCGGGUUGUUUGGGAAUGCAGCUCAAAGUGGGUGGUAAAUUCCAUCUAAAGCUAAAUAUUGACGAGAGACCGAUAGCGAACAAGUACAGUGAUGGAAAGAUGAAAAGAACUUUGAAAAGAGAGUGAAACAGUACGUGAAAUUGUUGAAAGGGAAGGGGAGGGAAGAUGUUAAAGGGACUCCUUCUUUGUAGGGAUCCCCGCCAAAAAGUCUUUCCUCUCGCCCGUCUUGAAACACGGACCAAGGAGUCUAACGAUUAUGCAAGUAUUUGAGUCAACCCCCAAAUGCGUAAUGAAAGUAAUUGGUCAACCCUACCCUCCUGUCCUAAAGGGCGGGAGAGGAAGCAUAAUUAUUAGGACCCGAAAGAUGGUGAACUAUACCUGGAUAGGUUGAAGCCAGAGGAAACUCUGGUGGAAGCUCGUAGCGGUUCUGACGUGCAA